rnacentral:rRNA from 1 species
GAAUCUUGGACAAUGGGGGCAACCCUGAUCCAGCCAUGCCGCGUGGACGAUGAAGGCCCUAGGGUUGUAAAGUCCUUUCACCCGUGAAGAUAAUGACGGUAGCGGGAGAAGAAGCCCCGGCUAACUCCGUGCCAGCAGCCGCGGUAAUACGGAGGGGGCUAGCGUUGUUCGGAAUUACUGGGCGUAAAGGGCGCGUAGGCGGCUUUUCAAGUCAGGGGUGAAAUCCCGGGGCUCAACCCCGGAACUGCCCUUGAAACUGGAUGGCUAGAAUACUGGAGAGGUGAGUGGAAUUCCGAGUGUAGAGGUGAAAUUCGUAGAUAUUCGGAAGAACACCAGUGGCGAAGGCGACUCACUGGACAGUUAUUGACGCUGAGGUGCGAAAGCGUGGGGAGCAAACAGG